UAGGGAAUCUUCCGCAAUGGACGCAAGUCUGACGGAGCAACGCCGCGUGAGUGAAGAAGGAUUUCGGUUCGUAAAACUCUGUUGUUAGAGAAGAACAGCGCAUAGAGUAACUGUUAUGCGUGUGACGGUAUCUAACCAGAAAGUCACGGCUAACUACGUGCCAGCAGCCGCGGUAAUACGUAGGUGGCAAGCGUUGUCCGGAUUUAUUGGGCGUAAAGCGAGCGCAGGCGGUCAAUUAAGUCUGAUGUGAAAGCCCCCGGCUCAACCGGGGAGGGUCAUUGGAAACUGGUUGACUUGAGUGCAGAAGAGGAGAGUGGAAUUCCAUGUGUAGCGGUGAAAUGCGUAGAUAUAUGGAGGAACACCAGUGGCGAAGGCGACUCUCUGGUCUGUAACUGACGCUGAGGUUCGAAAGCGUGGGUAGCAAACAGG
rnacentral:rRNA from 1 species